rnacentral:rRNA from 1 species
UUGAGCCUUGAUGUGUAGGAUAGGUGGGAGGCUUUGAAGCGUGGACGCCAGUCUGCGUGGAGCCGACCUUGAAAUACCACCCUUUAAUGUUUGAUGUUCUAACGUGGAUCCGUAAUCCGGGUUGCGGACAGUGUCUGGUGGGUAGUUUGACUGGGGCGGUCUCCUCCUAAAGAGUAACGGAGGAGCACGAAGGUUGGCUAAUCCUGGUCGGACAUCAGGAGGUUAGUGCAAUGGCAUAAGCCAGCUUGACUGCGAGCGUGACGGCGCGAGCAGGUGCGAAAGCAGGUCAUAGUGAUCCGGUGGUUCUGAAUGGAAGGGCCAUCGCUCAACGGAUAAAAGGUACUCCGGGGAUAACAGGCUGAUACCGCCCAAGAGUUCAUAUCGACGGCGGUGUUUGGCACCUCGAUGUCGGCUCAUCACAUCCUGGGGCUGAAGUAGGUCCCAAGGGUAUGGCUGUUCGCCAUUUAAAGUGGUACGCGAGCUGGGUUUAGAACGUCGUGAGACAGUUCGGUCCCUAUCUGCCGUGGGCGCUGGAGAACUGAGGGGGGCUGCUCCUAGUACGAGAGGACCGGAGUGGACGCAUCACUGGUGUUCGGGUUGUCAUGCCAAUGGCACUGCCCGGUAGCUAAAUGCGGAAGAGAUAAGUGCUGAAAGCAUCUAAGCACGAAACUUGCCCCGAGAUGAGUUCUCCCUGAGACUUAGAGUCUCCUGAAGGAACGUUGAAGACGACGACGUUGAUAGGCCGGGUGUGUAAGCGCAGCGAUGCGUUGAGCUAACCGGUACUAAUGAACCGUGAGGCUUAACCUUACAACGCCGAAG